GCUGUUGUAGCUCAGUGGUAGAGCACUCCCUUGGUAAGGGAGAGGUCGAGAGUUCAAUCCUCUCUAACAGCA
rfam:Lasius niger Lnig_2.1_8010, whole genome shotgun sequence.